rnacentral:lncRNA from 1 species
AAAAAAUAAGUAUUGAGUUAGAUAUUACGUGUUGAUAAUUGAUUAGAUACAUUGAUUAUAAAACAUGAGAUGCCUCCAUGAGGCUUAUGUUAUCUCCUUGAUGACUUCAUUGCUUCUUUCUUCUAAUUUGACUAGAUGAUGCUUCUUGAAAGAAACUAGAUCAUGUGUUUUUAUUCUUUUGAAUUAUAUGCAAGUUUUUUUUUCUUUGAAGAUUGUAUAUUAGAUGCAAAGUGAUUGUACAUCUCGUAUUUGCGGAUCUUGAAUUCAUUACUUAAGGUAUUUUAUUAUGGUCAUAAUGUUCCUAUGGUUGUUGUUACUAAAGAUGUCUUAGACAAGUAGAGUCUUCCUUCCAUUCCAAACAAUUUUUUGGAUGUAAGUUUAUUCAAAAAUUUCUAUUCAUCUAGAUGAUGAAAAACAAUAUCUAUAACAUGUAUAAAAGGGA